ACUUUAUAUUUAUUAUAAGAGAUUUAAUAAAAAUAAAUAUUAAAAAAUAAAGUUAGUUGAAAAGUAGAUAUUUACUUUAUUAAAAGUAAAAUUCGAUUAAAAAUAUUUUAUAUUUUUAAAUGGAGAGAGUAAAAAAUACUCCUAUAAUCUGAUUUGUCUGCAUUAGCUAUUGGUAAAUAAAAUAUUGAGUAAAUAAUGGAGGUUGGUGACGCCAGAGACAAAUGAUUUUAUAAAAAAGACCGGUGAAUCAUGUGAGCUUCACUGGGAAAUCUGUGGUGGUUAGAAAAUCUUCCGUGAGGGGCAAACUUUCAGUUUUGUCAACCCUCUUGUACUGUGUGAAUUAUCAUGGUCGAGACUUUCCACGCGCCUCAACAGUAUCUGGCUUCAGGGACAGUGGUGUUUCUACAAUCAUAUUUUGUCUAAUCCUCACCAGACCCACACUUAGUUCACAAGCAUGUAAUCUAAUCCUCCUAAGCACAGAUGAACAUGACAAAUAAGCUCCCAUCGUACCCAAUUCUCUGGCUCACUCCUCAGGAAAGAGUUCAAGCUUGAAUCUCACGAAAGCUUCCAUAUUAUGUCCAUGACGGUGGAUCUUAGGUCAGAUAUUUAUGUUAAUAACCUAACGUCUA